UUAUAAUACACAGGUUUGUACUUUGUUCUCUCAUUUGAUUUCCCCCUGUUUUAUCAUAACAGCAAACAUCAUAAUUACCUCCGAAAUCAAAGGGGAGAACGCUGAGCCAGAGAUCAAAGAAUCGCCCCAUUAGUAGCGGGAAUGCCAUUCAUGUUGAAGACAAGAUCAGCUUGUCUCCUUUAAAGAUUCAAACAAACUAAAAAGGAGAGUCAACAUCAG